AGCAGAAUUGCUGGGUCAUAUGGUAAUUCUAUGUUUAAUUUUUGAGGAACUGCCAAACUUUUUCCCACAGUGGCUGAACCAUUUUACAUUCCCACCAGCAAU
rnacentral:pre_miRNA from 1 species